UUCCCUGUGGCUCAGUUGGUAGAGCAUGGUCUUUGCAACGCCAGCAUGGUGUGUGCAACGCCAGGGUUGUGGGUUCGAUUCCCACGGGGGGGG
rfam:Salmo salar isolate Sally breed double haploid chromosome ssa16, whole genome shotgun sequence.